AAAAUUUGUUUUCUAGUUUAAACGAGGAACUGUCUCCCAAGUAUCAUACAAUUUGUUACUACAGGGCUAUAAUUGUCUGCUAAUGCAGUUCUGGAUACAGUGACGCCUAGUGGUUUUUCAAAAGCAUGUACUGUUUUAUUAAUUGGGGGGAGGGGAGGUUGGAAGUUUUUAUUAAUAUUAUCUGAUUGGGGGUACUUCAAAACUCGUUCUGGUCACAGAUGACUCGGCCUUGCAUGUGGAGGAUUAAUACACAAAAUAUCUUUUGUAACCUACCCACCCACCUAUGGAUACCGAUGCAGUAGUAUUGCUU